UCCGGUUGAUCCCGCCGGAGGUUACUGCUAUCGAGGUUCGACUAAGCCAUGCGAGUCGAAUGUAGCAAUACAUGGCGUACUGCUCAGUAACACGUGGACAACCUACCCUUGAGACGGGGAUAAACCCGGGAAACUGGGUAUAAUACCCGAUAGAUCUCGACUGCUGGAAUGCAUCGAGCUCCAAAGCUCCGGCGCUCAAGGAUGGGUCUGCGGCCUAUCAGGUAGUAGUGGGUGUAGCGUACCUACUAGCCUACGACGGGUACGGGUUGUGAGAGCAAGAGCCCGGAGAUGGAUUCUGAGACACGAAUCCAGGCCCUACGGGGUGCAGCAGGCGCGAAAACUUUACAAUGCUGGAAACAGCGAUAAGGGGACCUCGAGUGCCAGGUUACAAAUCUGGCUGUCGUGAUGCCUAAAAAGCAUUGCAUAGCAAGGGCCGGGCAAGACCGGUGCCAGCCGCCGCGGUAACACCGGCGGCUCGAGUGGUAACCGUUAUUAUUGGGUCUAAAGGGUCUGUAGCCGGCCGGAUAAGUCUCUUGGGAAAUCUGGCAGCUUAACUGUCAGGCUUUCAGGAGAUACUGUCUGGCUCGAGGCCGGGAGAGGUGAGAGGUACUUCAGGGGUAGGGGUGAAAUCUUGUAAUCCUUGAAGGACCACCAGUGGCGAAGGCGUCUCACCAGAACGGACCUGACGGCAAGGGACGAAAGCUAGGGGCACGAACCGGAUUAGAUACCCGGGUAGUCCUAGCCGUAAACGAUACUCGCUAGGUGUCGGCCACGGUGCGACCGUUGUCGGUGCCGUAGGGAAGCCGUGAAGCGAGCCACCUGGGAAGUACGGCCGCAAGGCUGAAACUUAAAGGAAUUGGCGGGGGAGCACCACAACGGGUGGAGCUUGCGGUUUAAUUGGAUUCAACGCCGGAAA
rnacentral:rRNA from 1 species